UUAGCCUCCGUACGAUUUAUGGGGCGCCUCUCUGCCCUGGCUCCCCAGGUGUCUCUGCCCUGGCUCCCCAGGUGUCUCGAAUGUGCUCCCUGGGUUGAGAAUCAGUGUUUUAAGGGAAGGGAAGAAAAGCCAGACAGGAAUCAGCUCUCCCUCCACCCUCUCUCUCUGCCGCCGUGCUUUUUAGUUACAGAAUGUAAUCAUUUGCUUCUUUUGUGUGAGGCCCCAUACUUAACACGUUUCCGGGGUCUGCACCUGGUGCGGAGGACAGAGGGGUAAAUGAAAUAGUUCCUGCCCCCGCCCGCAGAGCUCAAAAGGGCUCUGCAACCGUCUGACCCAACCCUCUGACCCAACCCUCCCCACCCAGGGACUUGCAUCCCCUCUGCAGCUUCCCUGGCGAAGAACUCUCGGAAGGUAUUCAUUCAUGGAGCUGCUGCAGCCACUGUGAGCCACACCCUUGGGGACCUGUCACCAGCACUAUGGAUGACCACAGUGCCAAGCAGGCUGCUGUGGACCCAACCAGGGGACCUGCUGGGCCUCCACUGCCCCAUGCACCAUGGAAACCGGACUCCUCAGUGUCCCCCCAAGCAUGCUUGGAAACUUCUCGUUCCUGAGCUCCUGCUUACAGCUUCCUGGACAUCAAAGACUGUUCCCAUCCGUCUUGGUACAGCCCAUAUGCCACCUUUCCUCUGUGAACUCCCCGACCAUGCCCCUGACCUGAGCAAGAAGUAAUAAUAAUAACAACAAUGGCUAAUCUUUAUGUCAGCACUCAGCUCAGCAGGGAUUAUCUCAUUUCUCUGUACACCACCCUGGUGGAUUAGGCACUUUUAUCAUACUCUAUUUUUCAGAUGAAGAAACUGAAGCUCAGAAAAGCCUUAAUUACUUGCCCAAGGUCACAGGCCUAGACUAAGCUAAGUUUCAAGCUCCCAUCUGUCUGAACUCCUUAACCACUGGGCUGCACUGCCCUGCGUCUGUCCCUCCUCCCUGUAGUCCUCUGGCUGAAACUCCCGUGUGACCCUCUGCUUUGUGUUCUGCCUCCGUGUGUACCUCUCUUCACUUCAGCCCCUGGCCCACUCCAUUUUAAAUCUCCUCGGGGACAGAUCUCUGUCUGACUCGAUGGUUCUCAGCCAAGGCUGCACAUUGGCAUCACCUGGGAAGCUUUUGCCAAUCCUGAUGCCCAGGCCCCAUCCCAGAUCAAGCACAUUCUACUCUCUGGGGCUGGGCCCAGGGCACCCAUGUUUCCUACACGGUACCAGGCAUGUUGUAGAAUUAAAAGGAAUUAUGUCUGGGGCACUUGGGUGGCUCAGUCGGUUAUGCACCCGACUCUUGGUUUCGGUUCAGGUCAUGAUCUCACGGUUUCGUGAGUUUGAGUUCCA